GACGAACGCUGGCGGCGUGCUUAACACAUGCAAGUCGAACGGAAAGGCCCUGCUUUUGUGGGGUGCUCGAGUGGCGAACGGGUGAGUAACACGUGAGUAACCUGCCCUUGACUUUGUGAUAACUUCAGGAAACUGGGGCUAAUACCGGAUAGGAGCUCCUGCUGCAUGGUGGGGGUUGGAAAGUUUCGGCGGUUUGGGAUGGACUCGCGGCUUAUCAGCUUGUUGGUGGGGUAGUGGCUUACCAAGGCUUUGACGGGUAGCCGGCCUGAGAGGGUGACCGGCCACAUGGGGCCUGAGAUACGGCGCAGACUCCUACGGGAGGCAGCGGUGGGGAAUAUUGCAGAAUGGGCGGAAGCCUGAUGCAGAGACGUCGCGUGCGUGAUGACGGCUUUCGGGUUGUAAACCGCUUUCGCCUGUGACGAAGCGUGAGUGACGGUAAUGGGUAAAGAAGCACCGGCUAACUACGUG
rnacentral:rRNA from 1 species